rnacentral:rRNA from 1 species
UACGUAGGGGGCAAGCGUUGUCCGGAAUUAUUGGGCGUAAAGCGCGCGCAGGUGGUGAAUUAAGUUGUGGGUAAAAGGCAAUGGCUCAACCAUUGUAAGCCUGCAAAACUGGUUCACUUGAGUGCAGGAGAGGGGAGUGGAAUUCCCGGUGUAGCGGUGGAAUGCGUAGAGAUCCGGAAGAACACCGGUGGCGAAGGCGGCCUGCUGGGCAGUUUUGCUGACACUGAGGCGCGACAGCGUGGGGAGCAAACAGG